UUGAGGAUGGCAGGCAAAUCCACCGUCCGAGCUGAACUUGAGAGUAUGGAGUCUUCUUCGGAAGAAUCCAAUAGUGUGGGUAAUCAUACUCCCGAGAAAAUCCGCUAAGCUUAACCCAUGCGGCACCCGUACCGCAAACGGACACACGUGGUCGGGUGGAACAUACUGAGGCGUUGAGAGAUUCAUGGUUAAGGAACUAGGCAAAUUGACCCUGUAACUUCGGGAUAAAGGGUCCUCGUGAAUAGCGAGGCGCAGAGAAUAGGUCCAGGCAACUGUUUAACAAAAACACAGGGCUGUGCAAACUCGAAAGAUGACGUAUACAGCCUGACACCUGCCCGGUGCCGGAAGGUUAAGAGGAGAUGUCACUCGCAAGAGGAAGCAUUGAAUUGAAGCCCCGGUAAACGGCGGCCGUAACGAUAACGGUCCUAAGGUAGCGAAAUUCCUUGUCGGGUAAGUUCCGACCUGCACGAAUGGUGUAAUGAUCCGGACGCUGUCUCAACCAUGAGCUCAGUGAAAUUGUAGUAUCGGUGAAGAUGCCGAUUACCCGCGAUGGGACGAAAAGACCCCGUGAACCUUUACUACAGCUUAGCAUUGACCUUGGUCAUCCGAUGUGUAGGAUAGGCCGGAGGCUUCGAAGCGGGAGCGCCAGCUUUCGUGGAGCCAUCCUUGAAAUACGGCCCUUUGGCUGUCUGAGUCUAACGCGCGAUGCGCGGACACUGCUUGGUGGGUAGUUUGACUGGGGUGGUCGCCUCCAAAAGCGUAACGGAGGCUUCCAAAGGUGCCCUCGGGUCGAUUGGUAACCGACCUCAAAGAGUGCAAUGGCAUAAGGGCGCUUGACUGGGAGGCAGACAUGCCGAGCAGGCAGGAAACUGGGGCAUAGUGAUCCGGCGGAUGUGUAUGGAAACUCCGUCGCUCAAAGGAUAAAAGGUACUCCGGGGAUAACAGGCUGAUCCCCCCCAAGAGCUCAUAUCGACGGGGUGGUUUGGCACCUCGAUGUCGGCUCGUCACAUCCUGGGGCUGGAGAAGGUCCCAAGGGUUGGGCUGUUCGCCCAUUAAAGUGGCACGCGAGCUGGGUUCAGAACGUCGUGGGACAGUUCGGUCUCUAUCUAUCGUGGGCGUGGGAGUUUUGCGUGGUGCCGUCACUAGUACGAGAGGACCGUGAUGGACAGACCUCCGGUUUACCAGUUGUGCCGCCAGGCGCACCGCUGGGUAUCUGAGUCUGGAUUGGAUAAGCGCUGAAAGCAUCUAAGUGCGAAGCCAGCCGCAAGAUGAGAACUCCAUUGAGGGUCGUCAGAGACGAUGACGUUGAUAGGAUGCAGGUGUAAAGACAGCGAUGUCAAAGCCGAGCAUUACUAAUUGCCC
rnacentral:rRNA from 1 species